AUUGAACGCUGGCGGCAUGCUUUACACAUGCAAGUCGAACGGUAACAGGCCUUCGGGUGCUGACGAGUGGCGAACGGGUGCGUAAUGCAUCGGAACGUACCCAGAGGUGGGGGAUAACGCAGCGAAAGCUGUGCUAAUACCGCAUGUGAUCUGAGGAUGCAAGCGGGGGACCGCGCAGCAAUGUUUGGCCUCGCGCCUUUGGAGCGGCCGAUGUCGGAUUAGCUAGUUGGUGGGGUAAAGGCCUACCAAGGCGACGAUCCGUAGCUGGUCUGAGAGGACGACCAGCCACACUGGGACUGAGACACGGCCCAGACUCCUACGGGAGGCAGCAGUGGGGAAUUUUGGACAAUGGGCGCAAGCCUGAUCCAGCAAUGCCGCGUGCGGGAAGAAGGCCUUCGGGUUGUAAACCGCUUUUGGCAGGAACGAAACGGUGUCCGCUAAUACCGGGCGCUAAUGACGGUACCUGCAGAAUAAGCACCGGCUAACUACGUG
rnacentral:rRNA from 1 species